UAGUCCCAUUUAACCACUUGUUAGUGACAACAUUUUUCAAGACAUGUAAAAGCUUAAAAACAAACAAUUGUAAACAAUGAUUAUAUGCCUUUUAGGACACUGUUGACAAGCAAGGCCUGGUGUGGAUGUUGAAGGAAGCACUUCAUAAGCUGAAGGACACAGCAGUCAGUUACACCAACAAAGCAGCUCUGGGUAAGUUUAUAUUGUUGGCUGUUCAGUUAUAAAUGGUUUUUAUGAAAGAUAGUGCUUCUUCCUGUACUUUAUGCCUUAUUUAUCUUUUCCAGCCAGCGACUCUCCUGUGGUAAACAGGCAGGUAAAGGAGGCCGAUAGUGAGACGGGAGUCGGUACAGAAGCUGCAGAAGCAGUAAGAUCCACCAUGGAGUGUGUGCUGGCUGCAUGGGUGUGCUACAAAGACUGCCUGUAUCUAUUACAGGCCUGGCUGGGGCAGGAGGGGCAAUCAGAGGAACAGGGGCAGGAGGUACUGUAAAGCAUUUGCCAUUAAAUACAGGAUUCAGUAUACAGUGGCCAAAAAAAGUGUUUGAACAUCUAAUUUGCACUUGAAAUGUAUGAAUGUCAUUUCUCUUAAGUUAGGGCAUAAUGUUUGAAUGUGGUUGCUUUUUAUCAGAGGUUCAUCUGUCUUGUGAUCUCUUUCAUAAUGCAGCACAAGCAUUUUUCCUCCAGCCUGAAUGAGUGGAGAUCACGUCAAGCCCAGCUAAAUGAGGCGGGAAACUUUCUCAUUGAUAUAAGUGAUGCCUCCACCAGCCACUCUCUGACUGAAGAGCUCCGCAGACUGAACAUACAGUGGGCUGACUUUAUAAAAAGGACCAAGUUUGCAGUGGCCCCUCAGCCCAUCGCUGCGGUCCCAGGGGUCCAAGCUGCUCAGUCCCUGAUGCAGGAAGCCAGCUGGGUGCUUAGAGAGACUGUGGAGGUGUCAUCUGGACCUCUACGUAUUUACAGAAAGAAACUCCAGGUAUUCUGAUCUUUCUGUCCUAGCUGUGCUUCAUACUGUUCAUAUUUUUAUACUAGAUAUUUCUUCAUUUAUUUGUCUCUCUUAAUUUUUUUUUUUCUUUUCCUUUGUCUUGACUGUUUCUCACAGUCAUUCUUCCACUCUCUUGUCAAGGAUAUUCAUGCUUGUCUUUUUUUUUCACUCAGGGCAUAAUUAAGAAGAUGUCAGCGUUCAAUUUGAACUCUUUGUCUCUGUCUCCAGACUACAAAGAAGAAACUCUCCAGAAACUCAGACAAACUCUUCCAGAGGUCAGGCAAUAUUCCUUUUAGGUUAUACAUAUAUGUAUUGUAGAUGUACAGUAAGAGACCAUUUAUCCAAAAAUGAAACAAUUUA
ensembl:lncRNA